GCCCAUGUGGCUCAGUGGUAGAGCACUCCCUUGGUAAGGGAGAGGUCGUGCGUUCGAUCCGCACCAUGGGCACCA
rnacentral:tRNA from 1 species